rnacentral:rRNA from 1 species
UACAGAGGUCUCAAGCGUUGUUCGGAUUCAUUGGGCGUAAAGCGUGCGUAGACGGUUAUUUAAGUCGGGUGUGAAAGCCCCGGGCUCAACCUGGGAAUUGCAUUCGAGACUGAAUAGCUAGGGUACGGUAGAGGGAAGCGGAAUUUCCGGUGUAGCGGUGAAAUGCGUAGAUAUCGGAAGGAACAUCAGUGGCGAAAGCGGCUUCCUGGACCAGUACCGACGUCAGGCACGAAAGCGUGGGGAGCAAACAGG